rnacentral:lncRNA from 1 species
ACACUUGCAAGCCAGGGAAGGCUCCGAAGCCCGCCGGCGGCGAACCCUGCAGGCUGAGAAGCCUGCCUAGACAAACUUUGAAUUCUGCUCAUCUGAAAAUUUACAACAGAGAAUUCAACAGAGACAGAAGGUGGAUUAGAGGGUGCCUCUGGCCAGGCUUCUAAAACGACGCCAAAGAAGUGAAAUGCAGAGACAUGCUCAGGCUCAGGCUGGAGUUGUGGAUGUGGAGGAAUGUCCUGAAUCAGGCACAGAAGCCAGGCCACCCUCUCACUCAAGCAUAAGCACAGAAGGAAGUGCAAGCACAAGUAUAAGCCCCUGUGUGAGGACAAGCUCAAGUACUCCAUCUACAGAUACUACAACAUCUACAGAUAUUACAACUACACCAGCAGCAACCCCUACAUCUGGACAGGGGUAUGUGAUAGAUCCAAAAAACAUGCUUGAGCCCCAGGACAUGGAAUUUGAAGUGGGUCCAGAAUUUGUCCUUAUUGACAGCCAAGACGAACAGGCCUCUCUGGAACAAGGAGAAUUCACUGAAGCAGAUGUGAAGAAGCCCUUGGAAGAGACAAAGGUCUCCAUUAUUAAAGAAGAUGUAAUUGAUGAAGAUUCUGCACGUCAGGGUGCCUCUUCAGAUGAUGAUGACGACAGCUGUAUAAUAAUAGAAGAUACUGAAGACAACAAAGACCCUAAGAUCCAAGAAGCCACUAAGGUCCAAGAACAAGGAGAUCAAAAGGCACCUGACGCUGUCCCAUCACGUCCAACCACACCAUUGCGGGCUGUGCGCCCCGAGGCUGUGGUGGAACCCAUACCAAGGAGAACAUAUCAAUUCCAUCGUCCGCUUUUGGGGGAAAGGUUUGCUCAACUCAGUGGCCCACGAGUAAUGACACAGGUGUAUGACUUGAGUAUCAGCAGGUCCUUCCACGAUGAGCUGCCUUCUUACAUAGAUAUGGAAGAGGAGGACAGAGAACAAGAGCAAUGUGAAUAUGAGUUGGCCCAGCGUAUUGAGUUGCUUCGAAACUUACCAUAUGAACGUCCGGGGCAGCAACAAAGUGGGCAAGGACCUCGUGUAUAUCGUCCACGAGAGCAGAUGGUGACUGUUAUUGAUGACCUGGGGCCACGCGCCAUGAAUUUUUUUGGAAAUAGCAACUCUGAAUAUUCACAAAGUGAGAUGCAUAGACGUUGGGAGACUCCUGUUGAUCAUGCUCCUCCACUUCUGCAUCACUCAUCAAGAUCAUGCCAAGAAAUGGCAGCAUCACAUCAAGCAUUGGCAGCACCAUGCCAAGCAUCUUUACCAUCAUGUCAAGUAUCUUUACCAUCAUGUCAAGUAUCUUUACCGUCACGUCAAGUAUCUUUACCGUCAUGCCAAGCAUCUUUACCGUCGUGCCAAGCAUCUGCACUAUCUCGUCAAGCAUCAGCAGUGUCACGUCAACCUUCGACAACUUCACGUCAAGUAUCAGUGUCACAACAAGUAGCAGCAGCAGCAUGUUACCCCUCAGCAAUGCCACAUAACGCCUCUUCUGACCACGGAAGAGAGAACAGGCCACGCUUUCUGCCCCCUGGACAAGAUCACGCCGGUUACUUUCAGGCUGAAGAGGACACCAAUCCUCACCCAUGAGGGGAAGAUGGGGCUUAAGACAGACCUCCAUGGUCUGUAUGGGAAAGGGACAUGCAAAAUGGGCAGAGUCCCUUGAUGGGAGAGGGGGGUGGGUUAUAUUACUUUACCUGUAAAUUGUUUGCAGUUAUUCUUAAGCAUAGUUUGUGGAGAUAAUGCUGCAGAAGUAGACUGUUAGAUCCAACUUGGUGUGUGAUAACAAGUGUUCCCUGGCCCCUGCUUGCCAAACACCACUUUGUGUAUAUGCAUAUGUGUUUUCAUUGUGGCAAGCUGACUUUAGUGGGCAGAAUGUCAGGGCCCUAUAUAUUUUCCUGACAAUGUUUAAAAUAGUACAAAGCUGUACAAUGCACGGGGGGAAAAGCGGUUCUAUCAUGCCCUUCCCCCAAAUUCUGGGGCCUUGUUUUUUGAUGUAUUUCUACCUCUCUUCUGUAGCCCCAUGAUACUUCAUACCCUAUGUUAAAUGGGUAUCCAAUUGUGAGAAACUAAUAUCUGUUCAAAACAGUGUACAUCUUUACUUAAUAAACACUAUGCUUCACUAC